rnacentral:lncRNA from 10 species
AAAAAAAAUUUGGAUCUGCUUAAAGAACCAGCUUUUGGUGUCAGUGUUUUGUCUAUUUUUCUGUUUUUCAUUUCAUUGAAUUCUGCUGUUAUCUUUAUUAUUUACUUUUCUCUGCUUGUAUUGGGUUUCAUAUAUUCUUUUUAUAGUUUAUCGAGGUAGAAAUUUAGAUUAUUGAAUUGAGACAUAUCUCCUUUUCUAAUAAAAGCAUUUAGUGCUAUAAAUUAACCUUGGAGCACUGCUUUAGCUGCAUUGCACAAAUUUUGAUAUUUCAUUCUAUUUAAAAUAUUAUAAAAUUUUCCUUCCUCUAAAAUAUGUAUUAUUUAGAAGUCGCUUUUACAUAUUCUAAAUAUUUGGGGAUUGAUGUCUUUCUUUGAUUUCUGGUUUAAUUCUAUUAUAAAUACAACAUUUUGUAUGAUUUUAACUCAAAAUUGUUAAGGUUUUAUGGCCUAGUUUACGAUCUACCUUGGCAAGUAUUUCAUGGGCACUUAAAAUAAAUGCAUAUUCUGCAAUUGUUGGCUAGGGUGUUCUACAAAUUUCAGUUAGGUCAAGUAGGUUAAUUGUUCUAUUUAAGUCUUCCAUAUCCUUCCUAAUUGCCUACUUACCCUGUCAAUUACCAAGAGGUAUGCUGAAGUUUCCAAGCAUAACUGCAGAUUUGUCCAUUUUUCUUUUAAUUCUAUCAGUUUUUGGUUCAGAUAUUUGGGAGUUCUGUUAUUAGAUGAAUAUACAUGUAAGACUUGGUAAAUUGCACCUUUUAUCACUAUGAAAUUAUCUCCCUUUAUCCUUGGUAAUUUUCUCUGUUCUGAAGUCUACUUUGUCUGACUCUACUAUAGUCACUAUAGCUUUCUUUUGGUUUUUGUUCGCAUGGUUUAUUUUUUUUCAUUUUUUAACCCUUUAGUAUCAUUGUAUUUAAAGAGGUUUCUUGUAGAUAACAUACAGUUAGGUCUUAUUUUAUCCAAUCAGAUAAUAUCCAUUUCUUUCUUUUUUUUUUUUUUUUUUUUCCUGAGACAGUGUCUCGCUCUGUCACCCAGGCUGGAAUGCAGUGGCACGAUCUCGGCCUACUGCAAGCUCUGCCUCCCGGGUUCACGCCAUUCUCCUGCCUCAGCCUCCCGAUUAGCUGGGACUACAGGCCCCACCACCACACCCGGCUAAUUUUUUUUUUCUUUUUUUUUUUUAUUAUUAUACUUUAAGUGUUAGGGUACAUGUGCACAAUGUGCAGGUUAGUUACAUAUGUAUACAUGUGACAUGCUGGUGCGCUGCCCCCACUAACUCGUCAUCUAGCAUUAGGUAUAUCUCCCAAUGCUAUCCCUCCCCCCUCCCCCUACCCCACAACAGUCCCCAGACUGUGAUGUUCCCAUUCCUGUGUCCAUGUGAUCUCAUUGUUCAAUUC